AUUAUAUCCAAAGGAUAAGGAAUGAGGAAUAUUAAGAGAUAUCAAUCUACUAUUAAGCAAGUGCCCAAGCGCAGUAAUAACAAUAUUAUCUUCCAGAAUAGGAUAUAAACAUCCAUAAACUGUUGAUUUAUCUAUAUUAAUAUGAAUAAAAUAUGUAUUCUUAGGUGCUUUUUCUUUACUAGAAAAUACUUUAAGUGGAAAUGGAGACAGAGUAUACUUACCAGUCUUUACCUUAUUUUGAAUCAAUUUAACAUUAUCGGGCGAUAACCCUACAAAU
rnacentral:lncRNA from 1 species